GCAGUACAUACAGUAAACCUUUAAGAGCUCUGUCAUGUAGCGAUUAUAUUGUCAGUAUUUAUGGUCCCUCUAUGCAUGACUUGAUGACGCUUUGUUCUGCUGAAAAGGGGAUGUAAGUCAAUAUGCAUUUAUGAUUCUUACAAGUUUCUUGUGUAAACUUGCUUCUGAUAUUUAGACAACUUGAAUGAUUUCCAAGGAAUUUGGAACUUGUUUUACAGAACUCUGAACCAGAGCAAUUCCGUCUUGUACAUAUCGUAUCAAUCUAAUGACCAUGGUUUCUCCCCAUGAUUUGUGAUGUUAAUGUAAAUAGCCACUGAUGUGAGAUAGCAAACUAUCACUAACAAUGUAUUUGUACACAGUUAUUAUUAUAAUUAUUAUUAUUAUUAUUAUGCUAUAUUUAUGAUUGCCGUGUCAAAGGAACCACUGUUUUCUUCUUUGUGUUCCAAAUGGCGCCCUAUUUCCUACAUAGUUCAUUGCUGAGUGUAGUGUACUAUGCAGGUAAUGCUUUGGAAUGCACACUAAAGUCUGUUCAGAAGUUGCCUAUUGCUGUUGUCUCUCAGGAAAGCUGAUGUCAUUAGCUUCUAUUUACUUAACCGUCUCCUUAAGUGUCUGCCUCUUAACUCUCAUACUAAAGUAGAAGGAAGUUGUCCAAUGCUUACCGUGAUGAUUUGUGGGUGCAGACAAUUGCAAUUGCAUUGGUGGGCUUCAAGAACAAUGUAUUUUAGAUAAAAGAGGAUUGGACUCUAAAAAUGGACCUAUCCACUGAUGUUGGCCGAGACUACUUGUAAUGGUUAUGAAUAUCAAACCUUUGACUGUUUUACCAUUGACCUACCUACAUUAACACUGGCCGUGUUUGCAACAUGCAGAUAACUUUUUCCAAAUUCCCAGGCUUUCCACAAAUCUUGGCUUAAGGAUUGAACGUUGUCAUUGGCUUUCUCUCGUGAAAGCGGAUGGUUAAGGACUGCCAAUAUCAACAGCACCCAUUCCCCCAACCCCCUUCUCUAACUGGGAGUGAUGAAUGACCUAUUGGUAUCACUGGGAUUGUUGGACAUGAUGCAUGUAGAUAUGAUCAGAACAUGAUAUGAACAUGAACAAUAAAUAUUUAUACUAUCUUAACUGCGA
ensembl:lncRNA